CUACGGGGGGCUCCAGUGGGGAAUAUUGCACAAUGGAGGAAACUCUGAUGCAGCAACGCCGCGUGGAGGAUGACACUUUUAGGAGCGUAAACUCCUUUUAUAUAGGAAGAAGAUGACGGUACUAUAUGAAUAAGCGCCGGCUAACUCCGUGCCAGCAGCCGCGGUAAUACGGAGGGCGCAAGCGUUACUCGGAAUCACUGGGCGUAAAGAGCGUGUAGGCGGAUUAAAAAGUCAGAAGUGAAAUCCUAUAGCUUAACUAUAGAACUGCUUCUGAAACUCUUAAUCUAGAAUAUGGGAGAGGUAGAUGGAAUUUCUGGUGUAGGGGUAAAAUCCGUAGAGAUCAGAAGAAAUACCGAUUGCGAAGGCGAUCUACUAGAACAUUAUUGACGCCGAGACGCGAAAGCGUGGGGAGCAAACAGGAUUAGAUACCCGCGUAGUC
rnacentral:rRNA from 1 species